rnacentral:rRNA from 1 species
UACGGAGGGUGCAAACGUUGCUCGGAAUCAUUGGGCGUAAAGCGCACGUAGGCGGCCCAGCAAGUCGGGUGUGGAAGCCCUCGGCUUAACCGAGGAAGUGCAUUCGAAACUACUGAGCUUGAAUACUGGAGAGGAUCGCGGAAUUCCCGGUGUAGAGGUGAAAUUCGUAGAUAUCGGGAGGAACACCAGUGGCGAAGGCGGCGAUCUGGACAGAUAUUGACGCUGAGGUGCGAAAGCGUGGGGAGCAAACAGG